GUUUAAUGUAGGUCAAUCCUUUUACUAACUUAGGGCUCAUUUGCUUUCAGUGAGUAUGAAAUUGUGCUUUCUUAGUAUUGUUUUGUCUUUUUUACAUUUGUCUGAGAAAAAGCAACAAGUUGAAGAGAAGGUGAUUAGUCAUCAGGAGUUUCAGAUGGCAAACGAGUGCAGGUUUGGCGUGGAGAUUACUGAUGAAGAGUUUGAGCUGCUACUUGACAGAAUCCCCCUUGAUGAAGAUGGAAAUGUCAGAUACCCCCAGUUCAUGGCCAGGUUUGAUUCCUGAGGGCCGUGUGGAAUCGUCCUAAUCCGGGAAGAGCCACUGCCUCCCUGUGUGAUCUGACACAGUGACAUAUCACUUGACCUCGGUCGCGGCAGCUGUACAGCGAGGUGGAAAAGGCGGCUGACGGACAAGCAGGGGAUGCCUUUCAGCACAGCUUCCUCGGGAUACAGUUGAGAAGAAUGUAUGCUAUAUGGAAGAACACGCAGAAGUUGUGAGCAACCACACGGUCUGAAUGUUAAGGGUUCAUCCAUCUUCCUGCACAAGGUAUUUAAGGUCAUAUGAUGUUUUAAUAUUUGAAAAACAACUCACUGUCCUGAAAUGUUGUAUUUUUUUAGGACUAAAUGUGAACAGGGCUUCAGGGAAUAGAUGUGUUGCUAGUUGAAAAUGCUGUAGCAGCUCUGACCCUCGAAAUUUUGAAGCUGGGGACUAAAUCAGUGUUUCACUGAGCAGCACUUGCACAUUUUGAGUGAAUGCCUUUAUCUGGAAAAGACAAACAUCCCAGGAGUCUGUAAGAAGUAAGAAGUAAGCUGUUGCAGCUUGAAUUUGUGAGAGGACUUCUGUGGAGCCUGAACCACCUCCCUCCAUCUCAAAGGAGACCGAGCCUUCCCUCUUUCUUAAAGAGCACUGAAACAAACCCAGAACAUUAGAAGUGUGAUUUCAGUAAUGAUCAGCAGCAUGAGAUCUCUACUUUGCACUCAGUCCUGUUGUCCAUGUGAAAAACUUUUCCACAGGAGAAGCUCUGAGAAACCUUUGGUAAUUUUAUACCCUGUAUUUUGC
ensembl:lncRNA